GCGAUGGUUGGCAAAUUAUAAGAGAAAUAGCUUCUGUAUAAAGGGUGUACUGUAAAAUAAGGUGCAUGGCAAGUUUACAAAAUGUGGUUAAAGAACUUGUAAAAAAUCAUAUUUUACUGAAAAAUAUGGACGAAAGUCUUCAAUUUGCGGAAAGUUGUAAAUUUAAGCACAUACGUACGUAGUGAAAUUAUAUUGCCAAAUGUCAACCUGGGUGGACUGGUUUUCUAAUGGAUUUAAAUGAAAACAAUUUGUCUCAUCCUGAAAACGUUGGAUAAAAGUGAUAAUAUCACUGUGAUAUAGAAACAGGACCACAAAUUUGGCCAUGUUUUUCAAUAACAGACUCUUCUUCUUGAAUGUCAAGUAUAUUUUUGUCGAGAUAUUGACCUUGCCUCAUGUCCUAAAUGUGGGUCGCAUACUUCAACAACCAGCUUAGAACUACUUAUAAACAGUUCGAUUCCUUUGCCUCGCAGGUGUUCAAUUAAUCAAUGGCCCAUAAAUACACAUGGACAUCAAUCAAUGGACACCAAACGAGGCUUAUUACAUGUGUAUAUGAUUCGCCAUGUCGUGUACAUAAUCCUCGAUUACACUAAACACCGACAAAUACAUAUACAUAAGUUGGUAUAAAUUCACCAAUUGUUUACUCUUGAACAACAACAACAUUAUUAAUUAUGUGUUAGUUUACCUGAAAAUGGAGGUAUCCCAGAGUGUGCUUUUGGAUUUUGACGAAGCUAGUGUCAAUCGAUCCGAAUUCCGAAAUUUAUUUUAUAUAGCGAACGACACUAUUUCUCAAUGGGCAGGUUUGGCAGAGAUAAAUGUUUGCAUCUGAAGAGGAGAAAACGCACAGUACAUUUUUGGCCGUCUUUUCUCCUUUUCGGAUACAAGUAUUUCUGCCAACCCUGCGCAUUGGCUGAUAAUGCCAUUUGAAAUUUCAUCCUAACUAAAUUUGUGAUCGAUUGACACUAGCUUAAUAAAAAUCGAGUGACGCUGGAGACUUUCAUUGUGUGAGGUGAGGAAUUAUAGAAUAAGAUCGCCUUGCCCUUGUACGUAUUAUUAGCAACACUUUCUCCAUCCAUAAUUCCGUUCUUUUGAUUAUAUCAUUUUCUACUCCUUAACGAGAAGACGCUACGUAUAAAAUUAACCAUAUAUGUAUUUAAUUGGAAAUAAAUACGUAUUUAUUUGGUUCCUUA